ACUUGCUGGUGUUUAUGACGUCGAUAUUCGACGUCAUAAACACCAAACUUGAUGGUGUUUAUGACGUCGAAUAUCGACGUCAUAAACACCA
rnacentral:miRNA from 1 species